rnacentral:rRNA from 1 species
CACGAAGUGAGUGGCGAACGGGUGAGUAACACGUGGGUAACCUGCCCAGAAGUAGGGGAUAACACCUGGAAACAGAUGCUAAUACCGUAUAACAGAGAAAACCGCAUGGUUUUCUUUUAAAAGAUGGCUCUGCUAUCACUUCUGGAUGGACCCGCGGCGUAUUAGCUAGUUGGUGAGGUAAAGGCUCACCAAGGCAGUGAUACGUAGCCGACCUGAGAGGGUAAUCGGCCACAUUGGGACUGAGACACGGCCCAGACUCCUACGGGAGGCAGCAGUAGGGAAUCUUCCACAAUGGACGCAAGUCUGAUGGAGCAACGCCGCGUGAGUGAAGAAGGGUUUCGGCUCGUAAAGCUCUGUUGUUAAAGAAGAACGUGGGUAAGAGUAACUGUUUACCCAGUGACGGUAUUUAACCAGAAAGCCACGGCUAACUACGUGCCAGCAGCCGCGGUAAUACGUAGGUGGCAAGCGUUAUCCGGAUUUAUUGGGCGUAAAGCGAGCGCAGGCGGUCUUUUAAGUCUAAUGUGAAAGCCUUCGGCUCAACCGAAGAAGUGCAUUGGAAACUGGGAGACUUGAGUGCAGAAGAGGACAGUGGAACUCCAUGUGUAGCGGUGAAAUGCGUAGAUAUAUGGAAGAACACCAGUGGCGAAGGCGGCUGUCUGGUCUGCAACUGACGCUGAGGCUCGAAAGCAUGGGUAGCGAACAGGAUUAGAUACCCUGGUAGUCCAUGCCGUAAACGAUGAUUACUAAGUGUUGGAGGGUUUCCGCCCUUCAGUGCUGCAGCUAACGCAUUAAGUAAUCCGCCUGGGGAGUACGACCGCAAGGUUGAAACUCAAAAGAAUUGACGGGGGCCCGCACAAGCGGUGGAGCAUGUGGUUUAAUUCGAAGCUACGCGAAGAACCUUACCAGGUCUUGACAUCUUCUGGCAGUCUAAGAGAUUAGAGGUUCCCUUCGGGGACAGAAUGACAGGUGGUGCAUGGUGUCGUC